GAUAAACGCUGGCGGCAUGCCUAAUACAUGCAAGUCGAACGAGAGUAGCAAUACUCUAGUGGCGAACGGGUGAGUAACACGUGGGUAACUUGUCUUAAAGACGAGGAUAACAGCUGGAAACGGCUGCUAAUACUGGAUAGGUUAAAUUGACGCAUGUUGAUUUAAUUAAAGGUGCUUCGGCACUACUUUUGGAGAGACCUGCGGUGCAUUAGCUAGUUGGUGAGGUAACGGCUCACCAAGGCGACGAUGCAUAGCUGUGCUGAGAGGCAAAACAGCCACACUGGGACUGAGACACGGCCCAGACUCCUACGGGAGGCUG
rnacentral:rRNA from 1 species